GAUGUCAUGGGAACUGAGAUUGCUAAGAGCUUUCCUUACACUAGAUGUCAAGUUGUCCUUUGCAGGAGCCUCUGCUGGGAUACAAGGGAAGCCCUUCAGCAUCCCCUUCAUCCAAAGCCAGAGAUCUCUCUCUGAUUGAUUGAACAUCCUUCAAUUCUUUCCCUGUGUAGAACUGAAUCUUUAUCUCCUACUGAAAUUUUAUGUACACAAGGUCAGAAGAGGCUCCUUAAAGCUGAGAGCAAUGUAGCACCAUAAAUUCCAGGACAUGAAACAGGCCCUUUUGAGCUACAUGAAAGGUUAUCCAAGGAGAAUAAGGUCUGAAAGAGCCACAGGUUUGCACUUUGCUGACAGACCCAUCCAAGCAUCAAUUGUAAAUGACAACCUGCUCCAUGUGACUAUGAGCCCUGAACUUCCUGAAAGCUGAUAUAAACUAAUCCAACUGAUGCAAAGGCUGUUUCUUCAGCUGGUCAAUGAACCAGUGGUUUCUAAAUUGCCUCCUUACCUUUGACUAACAUUCUAGCCUCCCAAGGCCCUGACAAUGUCAGGGACAAGGACAGAAUCUCUAAGGACAGGCAACUAGAUCAUCUUACAGUCAGGUUGACUAGCAACAGGACAUUGAGGCAGAGCCCUUGACACUUUCAACCUGUAAACAUCCUAUACAAACAUCCUGUUAGCUUGCCCCACCUUAUGCAAAUAACAGCUUCUUGCUCCCCCCACCUUGCAGGAACUAUAUAAACCCUCUUGGAGAAAAAUAAAGUUGCACCUUGAUCAGAA